rnacentral:rRNA from 1 species
UACAGAGGGUGCGAGCGUUGUUCGGAAUUACUGGGCGUAAAGCGCGCGUAGGCGGUCAUUUAAGUCUGCCCGUGAAAUGCCGGGGCUCAACCCCGCGCACGUCGGGGGAUACUGGGUGACUGGAGACAGGUAGAGGCGAGUGGAAUUCCGGGUGUAGCGGUGGAAUGCGUAGAGAUCCGGAAGAACACCAGAGGCGAAGGCGGCUCGCUGGGCCUGGUCUGACGCUGAGGCGCGAAAGCGUGGGGAGCGAACAGG